ensembl:snoRNA SNORD36 Small nucleolar RNA SNORD36
UUGCGAUGAUGAGUUGAAUUUCUUCACCUGAAUUUUGUGUGUAGAUCAAAAAAACGAGCUUUUUAAACCUGAGCAAG